rnacentral:lncRNA from 1 species
AUUCAUGCAUGAAAAUUAAGCGUGCACUCUCAACCAACAUACAUAAAUCAUUUUUUAUACGAUCGGAUAAGUAAAUUGAAUUCACAACUUAUGAAUCACAACUGGAUGUAAUCAAAUCAUAUUGCAAGUACGAACAUGGUUUCGAAUCACCCCCUAACUAAGAGGGGUUUAGUUCCUCAUACUCACAAAGCAAAGAUACAUAAAAUUAGACAUUAAAAUCAAAGGAAAGAAAACACCUAAAAUGCUCCAACUUGGGUAGCAAGUGCAUCCAAGAAUUCUCCUUUGCUUGCUUGUGGCAGAUUGCUUUGUGGACGGAUUUUUGGGUAGUUUUAUGAUGUAGAAUGGAUGGGGAAUGGUAUGGAAAG